GGCUCCUGCCGCCGCCGGCCGCGGACUCGUGGAGGCUCCCGUGCCGCGCCUGGCUGCCCCUCGCCGCUCCCUCCUCCCCCUCCUCCCGUCCCCUUCUCAGCCCGUGGGACAUUAGCGCGGCGAGCAGGAAGACAACGAGACCGCAGGAACACCUCCUUCCCCGCCCUCCCCGCUGCGCAUUUCGAUUUCACUUCCCGGGCCGGGCGGGGCGCUCCGGCCAAGCGCCGCCUUCCUCCGGCGGCACUGCGAGCGCGGCCGGGCCCCGGCGCGGCCUACGUCGGUGCGGUGCUGUUUCGGUUUGCUGAGGGUCCGUUGGUGCUGAGGAGGUGUGGGUUACGGGACAGGCCACGGACCAGAAGUGCACGCCCUCCUAAAAAGCUCCCGCCGUGGCUCUGGUGCCUGACAAGCACAAGGCACAUCCAUUCUCUUCUGUGUGUGAGCACUGCCAGGGUGCUGCGUCUGUCCCACAGUUCUCAAUUAAUUCGAUCGUACAAUCAUACAGUCAAAUAGCAGAUUUCACACCAGGAUCAUAGCAGUUGACCUGAGCUGCAGAACUCACUGAGGCCCACUUCUAAAGGCUCAGAGACAGAAUCAUUUUGCUACUCUCAGUUAAAUAUCUGUGCCCAUUUGCAUGAGGCAAAUGCGAGGUAGUAUGAUUUAAGGCAAUCCGCUUUGCAUCAGGUAAAGCAUAUUACUGGAUGUUUGUCGGAGGCUAAGAACUUUGCUACCAUGAUACUGCUGGUUUGUGGCAAUGCCAAAUGGCAAUCAGUCCCAUGCGUUGUCAUGUGUCUUCAAGGAACGAGUGAAGCAGGAGAGGUAUUUCCAGGCCCCACGAUUAUAUUUAAUAUGUCUGAAAGAACUUAAAUGAGACAAUGAUACAUAGUAUCAAUUAUUCACUCUAUUUAGAGAAGUGGCAAUAAUUACUAAAAGUUAUAUACCAUCUGGGUUGAUGCCUACAAAAUAGAGACUUCAUUUUGGCAGCAAACUCGAGUGACACAAUAGGCAUUUUCAGUCCCCCUUUAAUUCUGAUGAUAUUUUGCUAGUUUCAAAUGCCUUUCAUUUCAUGUUUUCUAACCAACAGAUUAGUCAAACUUUGGAACAGCUUUCCAGAGCCUUUGGAUGGUAACAGAAAAGAUAAUUAAUUCCAAGAUGGAGUGUUUCCCAUUUAUGAAUGGUAUUGUUGAGAAGGGAUGCGUGCAAUAAGAAAAAAAAGAAAGGAGAUCUCAGGAAACCAUACCAGUCUCACUUUCAUUUACUCUUCACUGCCCUAGCUUGGCUGAAAUGAACAGAGUUCUGCCAGUCUGGAGCAGUGCUUCAGAUAUUUCAAGAAGUUAAUUCUGGGGGAACUGUUCUCAUAUUGCAACUCCUGACUGUCAGAGCACUCUAAUUCCAGCCUCAAAGCAUCUAAGCAGACACUCUGCAAUUGCUACUGCAGUUUAAACCAUCUGAAGAGCUGGUAUGUUUCACAAUACCCACAUCAACUGUAUUUUUAUAAUAAACAACUGAAUAUUUGAACUACAAA